rnacentral:rRNA from 1 species
GAACGAGAAAGUGGAGCAAUCCACGAGUAAAGUGGCGACCGGGUGAGUAACACGUGACUAACCUACCUCCGAAUGGGGAAUAACUCCGGGAAACCGGGGCUAAUACCGCAUAACACCGCAAGGUCAAAGCAGCAAUGCGUUUGGAGAGGGGGUCGCGGCUGAUUAGCUAGUUGGCGGGGUAACGGCCCACCAAGGCGAAGAUCGGUAUCCGGCCUGAGAGGGCGCACGGACACACUGGAACUGAAACACGGUCCAGACUCCUACGGGAGGCAGCAGUGGGGAAUUUUGCGCAAUGGGGGAAACCCUGACGCAGCAACGCCGCGUGGAGGAUGAAGCCCUUUGGGGCGUAAACUCCUUUCGACCAAGACGAUGAUGACGGUACUGGUGGAAGAAGCACCGGCUAACUCUGUG